rnacentral:rRNA from 1 species
UGGGGAAUAUUGCACAAUGGGCGAAAGCCUGAUGCAGCAACGCCGCGUGAGUGAUGAAGGUCUUCGGAUUGUAAAGCUCUGUCUUUUGGGACGAUAAUGACGGUACCAAAGGAGGAAGCCACGGCUAACUACGUGCCAGCAGCCGCGGUAAUACGUAGGUGGCGAGCGUUGUCCGGAUUUACUGGGCGUAAAGGGUGCGUAGGCGGAUGUUUAAGUGAGAUGUGAAAUACCCGGGCUUAACUUGGGUGCUGCAUUUCAAACUGGAUAUCUAGAGUGCAGGAGAGGAGAAUGGAAUUCCUAGUGUAGCGGUGAAAUGCGUAGAGAUUAGGAAGACACCAGUGGCGAAGGCGAUUCUCUGGACUGUAACUGACGCUGAGGCACGAAAGU